UACAGAGGGGGCAAGCGUUGUUCGGAAUUACUGGGCGUAAAGGGCGCGUAGGCGGCCUUCUAAGUCGAACGUGAAAUCCCCGGGCUCAACCCGGGAACUGCGUCCGAUACUGGAAGGCUUGAAUCCGGGAGAGGGAUGCGGAAUUCCAGGUGUAGCGGUGAAAUGCGUAGAUAUCUGGAGGAACACCGGUGGCGAAGGCGGCAUCCUGGACCGGCAUUGACGCUGAGGCGCGAAAGCCAGGGGAGCAAACGGG
rnacentral:rRNA from 3 species